GGUUGCAUAGCUCAAUUGGAUAGAGCGUCGGUCUACGAAACCGAAGGUUGAAGGUUCGAGUCCUUCUGCGACCGCCA
rnacentral:tRNA from 1 species